UACGUAGGGGGCAAGCGUUGUCCGGAAUUAUUGGGCGUAAAGCGUGCGCAGGCGGUUUUGCAAGACCGAUGUGAAAUCCCCGGGCUUAACCUGGGAAUGGCAUUGGUGACUGCACGGCUAGAGUGUGUCAGAGGGGGGUAGAAUUCCACGUGUAGCAGUGAAAUGCGUAGAGAUGUGGAGGAACACCGAUGGCGAAGGCAGCCCCCUGGGUCAAGAUUGACGCUCAUGCACGAAAGCGUGGGGAGCAAACAGG
rnacentral:rRNA from 1 species